rnacentral:rRNA from 1 species
CCUAAUACAUGCAAGUCGAACGGCUUUUCUAUGGAAGCUUGCUUCCACUGAGAAGAUAGUGGCGGACGGGUGAGUAACACGUGGGUAACCUGCCCAUAAGAGGGGGAUAACAUCCGGAAACGGGUGCUAAUACCGCAUAGUUUUCUUGAUCGCAUGAUUGAGAAAGGAAAGACGGCCUUUGUGCUGUCGCUUAUGGAUGGACCCGCGGCGUAUUAGUUAGUUGGUGAGGUAACGGCUCACCAAGACGAUGAUACGUAGCCGACCUGAGAGGGUGAUCGGCCACAUUGGGACUGAGACACGGCCCAAACUCCUACGGGAGGCAGCAGUAGGGAAUCUUCCGCAAUGGACGAAAGUCUGACGGAGCAACGCCGCGUGAGUGAAGAAAGGUUUUCGGAUCGUAAAACUCUGUUGUCAGAGAAGAACAAGUCGGAGAGUAACUGCUCCGGCCUUGACGGUAUCUGACCAGAAAGCCACGGCUAACUACGUGCCAGCAGCCGC